AUGCUCUCCCAGCUCUCCACCGCCCUGGUGACUUCCUCACGCUGGGGCCACCGGCCUUUCUGGUUCCCCUUCGGCAAAUACACUCCAGUCCCCCAGAGACCGAUUUCCACGGAAACCAUGGCCACAGGGCGCCUUCUAGAGAGGCUGUCUGUCGAGCAGGGUGUGGCAGAAAGGAGGCACAGUCUCAGGAUGACGUUAGAAAUGGGAACAAGACACAGAGACAGCAGAAGAGCCCGUGAACAUGCCAAGUGUUUGAGAACAUUUCUAUCGGUGGAGGGACAGACCUCAGAAAGAUCAGGAGGCCAGACACAGAGCACCUGCUGUGUGCCAGGCUUGAGGCAAAGUGCUGGAGGGGUCGGGGGUCAGAUGGCACCUUGUCUCCAGGGCGUUUGCAGCCUCUCAGUGCACAGAGAAUCACACCAAACAAGAGCACAGCAAAGAACGGAGCAUACGGGCGCACGUCACCAGUUUGCUGCAGUGGCAAGGAGUUACUGAUGUUCUGUGAUUUUAGGAAUGUUAAGACAAUCCUAACUGGGUCACCAUGCUGUACAGUAGGAAAAAAAUAAUGCAUUGGGGAAAUGAAAAAAUUAAAGAAUAAAAUAAAAUAAAAUAAAAUAACCCCCCUGGAG
rnacentral:lncRNA from 1 species